rnacentral:rRNA from 1 species
GUACACGCUGUGACUAGCAUAUCAAUAAGCGGAGGAAAAGAAACUAACAAGGAUUCCCCUAGUAACGGCGAGUGAAGCGGGAAGAGCUCAAAUUUGAAAUCUUAAAGGGUUUCCCUUUACGAAUUGUAGUUUAAAGAAGUGUUUUCUGUUGAGGUUUUGGUAAAAGUUCUUUGGAAUAGGACAUCAUAGAGGGUGAGAAUCCCGUAUUUGACCUUUACUUUCAACUUUGUGAUACACUUUCAAAGAGUCGGAUUGUUUGGGAAUGCAGUCCAAAAUGGGUGGUAAAUUUCAUCUAAAGCUAAAUAUUGGCGAGAGACCGAUAGUGAACAAGUACCGUGAGGGAAAGAUGAAAAGAACUUUGAAAAGAGAGUUAAACAGUACGUGAAAUUGUCAAAAGGGAAGCGUUUGACACCAGUGUUGUUUUUCUGAAAAUCAAUUAAAGAACUGUUUAUGCUAAGUUGUUUAGACUUUAUCAGCUAUCUGUUUAGUUUUGAGCUUUUCUUUAAUGCACUUUUCAGUUAACAAGUCAACAUCAAUUUCUUUUGCUGUAAAAAAGCUUGAGGAAGGUGGCUUGAGAUUCGUCUUAAGUGUUUAUAGCCUCUUGCCUAUGCAGUCGGAGAGAUUGAGGUCUGCAGCGUAGAUCCUUCGGGGCUAAAUGCAUUUGUGCUAAGUUAUAGCAUUUUAUAGACAACUUGUUGACUAUGAUUUGUCUUGUAGCUUACUCGCUUAUGUUAUUUUACCUACGCUUAGGAUGUUGACGCGCGUGUGUGCGUG